rnacentral:rRNA from 1 species
GACCCUUCCGGGGAGGCUUGCACAGGUGCUGCAUGGCUGUCGUCAGCUCGUGUCGUGAGACGUUCGGUUAAGUCCGCUAACGAGCGCAACCCUCGCUGUGUGUUACAAGUGUCACACGGUACUGCCGGUCUUAAGCCGGAGGAAGGUGGGGAUGACGUCAAGUCAGCAUGGCCUUUAUGUCCUGGGCUACACACACGCUACAAUGGCCAACACAAUAGGUUGCUAAGCCGCGAGGUGGAGCCAAUCCUCAAAGUUGGUCUCAGUUCAGAUUGCAGGCUGCAACCCGCCUGCAUGAAGAUGGAGUUGCUAGUAACCGCAGGUCAGCUAUACUGCGGUGAAUACGUUCCCGGGGCUU